rnacentral:rRNA from 1 species
GACGAACGCUGGCGGCGUGCUUAACACAUGCAAGUCGAACGGAAAGGCCCUGCUUUUGUGGGGUGCUCGAGUGGCGAACGGGUGAGUAACACGUGAGUAACCUGCCCUUGACUUUGGGAUAACUUCAGGAGACUGGGGCUAAUACCGGAUAGGAGCUCCUGCUGCAUGGUGGGGGUUGGAAAGUUUCGGCGGUUGGGGAUGGACUCGCGGCUUAUCAGCUUGUUGGUGGGGUAGUGGCUUACCAAGGCUUUGACGGGUAGCCGGCCUGAGAGGGUGGCCGGCCACAUUGGGACUGAGAUACGGCCCAGACUCCUACGGGAGGCAGCAGUGGGGAAUAUUGCACAAUGGGCGGAAGCCUGAUGCAGCAACGCCGCGUGCGGGAUGACGGCCUUCGGGUUGUAAACCGCUUUCGCCUGUGACGAAGCGUGAGUGACGGUAAUGGGUAAAGAAGCACCGGCUAACUACGUG